AGAGGACGACACGACCCGGGAGUGUCCCAUGCAGAGCCGGGAAGGGCGAGGAGGCCCAGCGGAGGCAGCGGGGAGGCCGGGGCCCGGAGGACGACAUGACCCAGGAGGGUCCCUUGAAGUGGCCUGGGUGCAUCCGCGGCUCUGGCAGUCAAGGUCAGGCGGAUGGGAGGGUACAGGAAGCAGGAAGCACAGACUGUGUCCCGGGGGUUCAGUGGAGAAGGGGAGGGGUUGGAGGGGCUCUGGGGAGAGCUCCGGGGGGCCAGGGGCACCGCUGCGACUCGGGGAUCAGCGUGUCUGCGGGGGGAGCUGCAGAGUAGGAGGGGGUACCGGAGCAGGUGAGACGGACAGGGGUGCAGAGCCCCAGGCAAGGCUCCUGACCUCACAGGAGAGGGGACACGGUGCAGAGGAUUCCCGGGAGGAAGAAGGCUGGCGACGUGGCUGCAAAGCCGCUGAGCGCAGCGGACGCAGCGCAAAGGGAAUGGAGAGAGAUCAGAGGGCAGGCCGAGCGUGGGGACGUCUGGGUGGGGCUGGGGGGCCGUGAGGGCCAUGGCUGGCAGAGGACGGCACUGCCGGGAGCCUCGGGGUGGGGACGCCUUGGGGGCACGCCCUCAGGGUGAGGCGCCAGCUGGCUCCACCCUCCCUUCUUCCUCUGGGGAGGGUCAGCCUCGCUUACGUGUAAUGAGGGAUCCAAGUCUGAGUCUGACCAUCGCGUCCGGGGCGGGGACUCGGGACAGCUGCUGGGAGCACCUGGGGCAGCGGGAGGCCCGUUUGCUUCGUGCUGUUUGAUGCAACGCGGCAGGAACGCAAGGAGGGCUGAGUAGACGCCCGGCAGGACAGACGCGGGGCACUGCUGCCUGUGCAGCUCUGCAGGCCGUGGUGCCCAGAUGCCCGCUGCGCCCAGAUGGCUGCUGCGCCCAGAUGCCCACUAUGCCCAGAUGGCUGUGGUGCCCAGAUGCCCGCUGCACCCAGAUGGCUGUGGUGCCCAGAUGCCCACUAUGCCCAGGUGCCCGCUGCACGUCCAGCCCUGUUGCUGUGCUUGUCACACACCCUGGGCGGCCCCUCCUCUCUGCACCCCCACCCCUCUGGCCACCCGGGGACCCCUGAGGUCCCAUGUGCCUGGCCCUGUCGGCUGCAUCCCCAGGGUUCCUCCACCUUCUGUGGGCACCUGAGGGCCAAGGCCUCAGGGCAUCUCCACCCUGAGGAGGACGCCUGCCCUCGCAGGAGGCCCACGCCAGCACCCUGCUCCCCGGUGUUUGUCACCUCUGAGGCCCCCACCUUCUCACAGUCCCUUCACCUGGGUCCUGAGUGACAGCUCGGCUGUGGCCACCAGGACGUGCCCCAUGGGUCUGAGAGGAAGCGGUCAACUUGUCCCCGCCAGCCCCUCUCUUCUAGGACAUUCGUGUCAGGAGGUCUGUUUCCUGAGGAUGUAGUGGGGGGCAUGGCUUUCAGACCACCUGGCUGCUGGAGAGGAAGCGUCUCCCUGACUCCCCCGCUCACCUGUGACCACCUUUGGGCCCAUCACAUCGUUGGGUCCCGGUGGACACUGAGGUGGAGGGAGCAGGGCAAAACCUGCAGCUCCCUCUGCGUUGGAGGCACCAAGUGCACAAGGCUCCAGAUAGAGGAGUCGAGCGCGGCCAGGCUGCAGGGUCUGGGGGGUUGGCCCCCAUAGAAUCAGCACAAAUUUCCCGUGUCUACUCGGCUUGAUUGACAGCUCUGAUCUCGCCUCUGGUUGAUUCCAGGAAAGGGCUUUUGCCACUCAGAUAGGUUUCCUAUUACAACACGGAGGAGCUUCUGUUUACAUUUUUCCCCUAUCUAGUUAAAGGUUUUUGCCCACUUACCUAUUGGGUUAUAGAUCUUUGCCUUUCUUAUUGAUUUCUAGAUGCUCUUUAUAUACUAAGGAGGUAGCUUGUGAUAGGAGGAGAAUAUAUACAUAUAUAUUCACAGACACACACAUUUUCUCAGUGUCUUUCUUACUUCUUAAUCUGCUGAUGGCAGAUUUUAUGCAGAGGUUUUUAUCUUUCUGUAGCUGAAUUUAUAAAUCCUUUUGUUUCACUUGGAUUUUCAGUUUUAAUUAGAAGAGUCUUUCUUUGAUGACAAGAUUGUAUAGGAAUUUACCCAUGAUUUCUGUUAGUACUUCUAUGAUUUUGCGUUUGAAUAUCUGACUCGAUUGGAAUCAGUUUUGAUGUGCAGUAUGAGCGUGGGUGAGGCUUUUAUCUUUUAUUAUUCACUUUGUUGGAGAGCCGCCCAGCUGUUCUAAAGCCAUUUACCCCGGUCCCUUUUUCACUACUGAUCUGAGAUGCCACCGUAACCCCGUACUGAUUCACCACGUUUUCAGCACAGCGAUGGUCUAAUAACUGCCACUACUUUCCUACCUCUACUUGCUACUUUUCUAUUUGAACUUUGGAGUCAAAUUGUCUAGCCAUAUUCUCCAGUGUGCUGUUGGAGAAGAGCAGAGAAAUAGCUCCAGAAAAAAACGAAGAGACGGAAAUACAGGAUGUUAACACGUGUGUGUGGAAUUUAGAAAGAUGGAAACGAUGGCACUAUAUGCAAGACAGCGAAAGAGCACGGAUUAAAGAACAGGCUUCUGGGCUCUGCGGGAGAAGGUGAGGGUGGGGCAAUCUGAGAGAACGGCGUUGAAACAUGCAUAUUAGCACGGGUGAAAGAGAUCGCCAGUGCAAGUUCAGUGCGUGAAGCGGGACACUCAAAGCUGGUGCUCUGGGGCACCCCAGAGGGGUGGGGUGGGGAGGCAGGUGGGAGGGGGAUUCAGGAUGGGGGACACACGCGCGCCCGUGGGCGACUCAUGUCGAUGUACGGCGAAAACCACCAGAUAUUGUAACGUAAUUAGCCACCAGUUAAAAUAAUUAAUCAAGAAAAGAGAAUGAGGGCUGAGCCAAAGCAAAAACAGCACCCAACUGCGGAUGUGGCUGGUGAUGGAAGUAAAGUCUGAUGCUGUAAAGAACAAUAUUNNNNNNNNNNNNNNNNNNNNNNNNNNNNNNNNNNNNNNNNNNNNNNNNNNNNNNNNNNNNNNNNNNNNNNNNNNNNNNNNNNNNNNNNNNNNNNNNNNNAGUCUGAUGCUGUAAAGAACAAUAUUGCAUAGAAACCUGGAAUGUUAGGUUGAUGAAUCAAGGUAUAUUUGAAGUGGUCAAACAGGAGAUGGCAAGACUGAACAUUGACAUUUUAGGAACUAAAACAGACAGGAAUGGGUGAAUUUAAUUCAGAUGACCAUUACAUCUAUACUGUGGGCAAGAAUCUCUUAGAAGAAAUGAGAAGCCCCCAUAGUCAACAAAAGAGUCGGAGAUGCAGCACUUGGGUGCAGCUCAAACGACAGAAAGAUCUCCGUUUGUUUGCAAGGCAAACCACUCAGUAUCAGAGUAAUGCAAGUCUAUGUCCCAACCACUGAUCCCCAAGAAGCUGAAGCAGAACAGUUCUAUGAAGACUACAAGACCUUCCAGAACUAAGACCAAAAAAAGACGUCCUU
ensembl:lncRNA